CAAUAAAAUAAUAAAAAACCUAUAAUCAUGAUUGAGUUAGAUAUAUAUAAUUUCUCUCUCUCUCUCUCUCUCUCUCCUCCCCCCCCCCCCCAAAAAAAAAGAGAACUUAGAAUUGAAGUGAUGAAAUCUCAACUGAAAACCAAUUAUACUGUUCAUGAUCGACAAACAAUAUUUUUGAUAUUUUCUUUUAUAUAAUUUUGACAAUUUCAGGCAAUGCCAAGAAAUAACUAAAAGACUACUUUAAUUUACAAAUGAAACUAUAUUUUGGAUAUCAAAACAAAAGAAUUGUUUCGCUGUACGCAUGAAAUUAUACCUAUCUUGCAUGCUGAUGCGUUCUUUUAACCAAAAUGGAAGUCCAUAAACUAAACUCAUACUCAAAAACUGAGGGACGUGUGAUAAUAAUUCUCAACGCCCCAAUCAUAUGUUUGCAGGCCCGUCUUUUUACUUUGAUUUAUUGCUUUCGUCUCGUGCUUUGAUUGUUGCUUUUUCAUUUAUAACCUUAUUCGAUCAGUUUCAAUUAGAUUUUGAGGCUCGAAGUUCAACAAUAACAAACAAUGUGGUUGUUUAAAGAAAUUAAUAAAAUUUAUGUUUUAGCAAGAAAAUAAAUCUAAAAUCCCCGAGAGUCGGCUAUAAAAUUUGACCAAAAAAAUAAAAAAUGCUAAAUCUCGAAGAAUCAGCUAUAAAAUCUGACAUAGCUUUAGAUAAUAGUAGAUGACACCUGAAUUUCGCUUUUGACACAAUGCAUAGCUUGUCGGCAAUAAUUUAAUUACAAGACAAACUAAAUUAACACGUUCUUUUCUUUCAAAGUAUCAUUUCAUUUGGAAAAUGCAGGUGUCUUCUGAAACAGUUUUUAAGGGGGGACUCACCCUCCCCUUCUGGAAUCAACGCUUGUCCUGCAGCACAUUUUUUGACGUUUACUCACGGCAAACAGUUUUGUCUCUUGCCACAUGGGUGGAGCUUUUUUGUCUCUUGCCACAUGGGUGGAGCUUUUUUUCCAAUAAAAUUUUUACUUUCAAAAGAUAUAUCACCGGCGAGGAGUUCUCUGAAAAAACAAAAAGCUUAAAGUUUUCGGAAUCUUUAUUAACUUUGUAUUUUUUUUAAAUAUACAUUUCA
rnacentral:lncRNA from 1 species